UGCAAUGAUGAUGAGAUUAUCUAUCUCGUUAAUCUGAACUUAACUUGAGGACAAAAAGUCUUCCAUUCAUACUCAUUCUGAGC